rnacentral:rRNA from 1 species
UACGGAGGGUGCAAGCGUUGUUCGGAAUUACUGGGGGUAAAGCGCGUGUAGGCGCGUGGGCAAGUCAGAUGUGAAAGCCUUCCGCUUAACGGAAGAAGUGCAUUUGAAACUACCCGGCUGGAGUAAGGGAGAGGAGAGUGGAAUUCCCGGUGUAGAGGUGAAAUUCGUAGAUAUCGGGAGGAACACCAGUGGCGAAGGCGGCUCUCUGGUCCGAUACUGACGAUGAGACGCGAAAGCGUGGGGAGCAAACAGG